UGUGAAGGCACAGCAAGUAGGUGAUGUCUACAAGCCCAACAGUAAGGCCUCACCAGAAAUAAACCACGUUGAAACCUUGAUCUCAGACUUCCAUCCUCCUGAAUUCAUCUGCACAGUCAAGAAGAAUAGCAUAACGAGAGGAAAUGCUGCCCAGAGUAUCUGUCAUUUUAUUCAGUGGAUACACAUUGUAAAGAUAAAUCUUACUAAUAAGGACAGAGGAGAAGUAAAUCUUAAAUUAUAGUGUCUAUAAGGGCCAGGAAACACUGCAACAAUAACCAAGAACUAACAGUCUUCCACAUUGUGAUAAAUAAGCCCUCUUCCCUGAACUUGCCAUUAUAUAUCUGCUGUUGGAGAACACACUCUUACUGAAAUAAAAUCUAAGUCAAGAGUCAUACUAUAAAUGAGGGAAUACUGGAAAUACCUCUUAUAUGAUCAAA